rnacentral:rRNA from 1 species
UACGGAGGGUGCGAGCGUUGUCCGGAAUCACUGGGCGUAAAGGGCGCGUAGGCGGCUGGGGAAGUCGGCGGUGAAAGCCCGGAGCUCAACUCCGGGUCGGCCGUCGAGACUCCUCGGCUCGAGCUCACUAGAGGCAGAUGGAAUUCCGGGUGUAGCGGUGGAAUGCGUAGAGAUCCGGAAGAACACCGGUGGCGAAGGCGGUCUGCUGGGGUGAGGCUGACGCUGAUGCGCGACAGCGUGGGGGAGCAAACAGG